rnacentral:rRNA from 1 species
UCCUACGGGAGGCAGCAGUGGGGAAUAUUGCACAAUGGGCGCAAGCCUGAUGCAGCGACGCCGCGUGAGGGAUGACGGCCUUCGGGUUGUAAACCUCUUUCGCCAGGGACGAAGCGCAAGUGACGGUACCUGGAGAAGAAGCACCGGCCAACUACGUGCCAGCAGCCGCGGUAAUACGUAGGGUGCGAGCGUUGUCCGGAAUUACUGGGCGUAAAGAGCUCGUAGGUGGUUUGUCGCGUUGUUCGUGAAAACUCACAGCUUAACUGUGGGCGUGCGGGCGAUACGGGCAGACUGGAGUACUGCAGGGGAGACUGGAAUUCCUGGUGUAGCGGUGGAAUGCGCAGAUAUCAGGAGGAACACCGGUGGCGAAGGCGGGUCUCUGGGCAGUAACUGACGCUGAGGAGCGAAAGCGUGGGGAGCGAACAGGAUUAGAUACCCUGGUAGUCCACGCCGUAAACGGUGGGUACUAGGUGUGGGUUUCCUUCCUUGGGAUCCGUGCCGUAGCUAACGCAUUAAGUACCCCGCCUGGGGAGUACGGCCGCAAGGCUAAAACUCAAAGGAAUUGACGGGGGCCCGCACAAGCGGCGGAGCAUGUGGAUUAAUUCGAUGCAACGCGAAGAACCUUACCUGGGUUUGACAUGCACAGGACGACUGCAGAGAUGUCGGUUCCCUUGUGGGCCUGUGUGCAGGUGCUGCAUGG